rnacentral:rRNA from 1 species
UACGAAGGGGGCUAGCGUUGUUCGGAAUUACUGGGCGUAAAGGGCGCGUAGGCGGUACUUCAAGUCAGGCGUGAAAGCCCCGGGCUCAACCUGGGAACCGCGCUUGAGACUGGAGAACUAGAGUUCGGGAGAGGAUGGUGGAAUUCCCAGUGUAGAGGUGAAAUUCGUAGAUAUUGGGAGAACACCGAUGGCGAAGGCAGCCAUCUGGACCGACACUGACGCUGAGGCGCGAAAGCGUGGGGAGCAAACAGG